rnacentral:snoRNA from 1 species
ACUCCGGUGAUUAUACAUUUUCCAAUACCAAUUGUUCCGACUGAAUAGUUUUACUGCAUGUCGACAACCUUUUAUAUCGUUAAGUUUCAGCCUUGUAUGAGGUUU